UACAUCCGACCGCUACAUCCGAUGCCGGGGGCUACAUCCGACCGCUACAUCCGAUGCCGGGGGCUACAUCCGAGGGCCGGCGCUACAUCCGAUGCCGGGGGCUACAUCCGACGGCCGGGCGCUACAUCCGACGGCCGGGCGCUACAUCCGACGGCCGGGCGCUACAUCCGACCGCUACAUCCGAUGCCGGGGGCUACAUCCGAGGGCCGGCGCUACAUCCGAUGCCGGGGGCUACAUCCAACCGCUACAUCCGAUGCCGGGGGCUACAUCCAACCGCUACAUCCGAAGGCCGGGCGCUACAUCCGAUGCCGGGGGCUACAUCCGAAGGCGACCGCUACAUCCGACUGCUACAUCCGACCGCUACAUCCGAAGGCGACCGCUACAUCCGAAGGCGACCGCUACAUCCGACCGCUACAUCCGAAGGCGACCGCUACAUCCGACCGCUACAUCCGAAGGCGACCGCUACAUCCGACCGCUACAUCCGAAGGCGACCACUACAUCUGACAGUAGGUGCAAACCAAAGUGGAAGUAUGGCUCCGCACCAUAUUACUCCCAACUGUUGGCCAGUCGGGUCCUUGAUCACUUGGACUAUGGAAGGCUAGUGCCACUGACUGGCAUGAAUACAGUAUGUGCCUUGUGAAUGUGCAGUUCUGUUUUCUGUGAAUUCUGUAGUUCUGUAUGGAACAAAUUAAUAAUUUCAGUCACUAGAGCAAAAAGGUUAUUCCACAGAACUGUGACCAUCCUACCCAUCAUUUUACUAUGGCCUGCAUGGUGUACACAUUUUAGCUCUAUUUUAUGAUGCGUUUUAAACUGUCACCUCUCAUUUUGAUUGGCCUAAAAUUGACAACAACCAUAGAGUGUGAACCCAAAGUAUUAGGCAAUUAUCCUUUUUAA
rnacentral:lncRNA from 1 species